rnacentral:rRNA from 1 species
GCGAGUGAGCGGCAAAGCUCAAAUUUGAAAUCUAGCACUUUCAGUGUUCGAGUUGUAAUUUGAAGAAGGUAACUUUGGUUUUGGCUCUUGUCUAUGUUCCUUGGAACAGGACGUCACAGAGGGUGAGAAUCCCGUGCGAUGAGAUGCCCAAUUCCAUGUAAAGUGCUUUCGAAGAGUCGAGUUGUUUGGGAAUGCAGCUCUAAGUGGGUGGUAAAUUCCAUCUAAAGCUAAAUAUUGGCGAGAGACCGAUAGCGAACAAGUACAGUGAUGGAAAGAUGAAAAGAACUUUGAAAAGAGAGUGAAAAAGUACGUGAAAUUGUUGAAAGGGAAGGGCUUGAGAUCAGACUUGGUAUUUUGCGUUCCCUUCCUUUUUGGUUGGGUUCCUCGCAGUUUACUGGGCCAGCAUCGGUUUGGAUGGUAGGAUAAUGACAUUGGAAUGUAGCUUUACUUCGGUGAAGUGUUAUAGACUUUGUUGAUACUGCCUAUCUAGACCGAGGACUGCGUCUUUGACUAGGAUGCUGGCGUAAUGAUCUUAAGCCGCCCGUCUU